rnacentral:rRNA from 1 species
AGAAUCAGUUAUUACUUAGUAUACACAUGCAAGUCUCCGCACCCCUGUGAAAACGCCCUUAAACCUCUUUAUGAGAUAAGGAGCUGGUAUCAGGCACAAACAUUAGCCCAAGACACCUAGCUAUGCCACACCCACACGGGAACUCAGCAGUGAUUAACAUUGUUAAUAAGCGACAGCUUGAAUCAGCCAAAGUAAAAAGAGCCGGCAAAUCUGGUGCCAGCCGCCGCGGUUACACCAUGUGGCUCAAACUGAUUCCCUCUCGGCGUAAAGCGUGAUUAAAGUAUUGUUUCCCUGCAAUUAAAUUAGAAUUUAGCUGUGACACGCCUUAUUAUUAAGAAAAUCAAAAACGAAAGUUAUUGCA